UACGUGAGAGGCAAGCGUUAUUCGUCAUUAAUGGGUCUAAAGGGUACGUAGGCGGUAUAAUUAAUUUUUUUAUACUUAUAGGUGAAAUUAAUAUUAUUAAACUAGAGUUAAAGAGAAGUAACAAAUAUAACGAGAGUAGUGUAAUAAUACCUAGAUACUCGAGAGGUUGCGAGGCGGCGAAGGCAUGUUACUAUUGAUGACUGACGCUGAGGUACGAAGGCAUGGGUAUCGAUCGGG
rnacentral:rRNA from 1 species